rnacentral:tRNA from 1 species
GCCCCGAUCGUCUAACCUGGUUAGGACAUUGGCUUUUCAAGCCAGCAAUACGGGUUCAAAUCCCGUUCGGGGCG